GUGUCUAGAUUCCAUGAGCCUCCCCAAUAGAACAGUAGAUUAUCCUUACCAAGGUUGGAACGAGAUUACGGUUGUAGUCUUCUCUAUACAUCACUCACAUCGAGACACAUUCUUUGUAGCCUAAAGGUUAGUAGUAAUAGACCGGGUUAGUCAGAUGCACUCUUUCUCCUAGUGGUAAAUAUAUAAAUACGAUACUCUAGAUAACAUCCCGGGUGAAGUGCUCACCGAUAUCUGUGCGCUUGCGGAUCAAUUCCUUAUUGCGUUACCAAAUAUCAACAGUCUGGUCCUGGUAAUGCUUAUAUUUUAGAAACUCUCGAAGGAGUUGAAUUUUCCAGAGCAUUGAAUGGAAAAUAUCUAAAGAAGUAUUACCCAAGCAUCUGGGUUGAUGCAUAAAAGUUUAAGUGCCGAUAACACUCCUAUCGGCUGGAUGAAAUGUAUCUGGGGUCGUGCAUAACGUUUUAAAAAGUGUCGAUAACAGUCCGAUCGGCUAGACCAGAAUGAUCAAAAGUAUUCUAAGGGCAGAACGAAACAAGUUGCCGAUGAAGAGCUCAGAAAUUUAGUAGAGCCUGGAUAGUGGAUAUGGCCCGUAGGCAGAUCUGGUCGGCUUCUUCUAUCUCCCGGAUGUCCUCAUCGGCAGAACCCUCUACUGGC
rnacentral:lncRNA from 1 species